rnacentral:rRNA from 1 species
UACGUAGGGUGCAAGCGUUGUCCGGAAUUAUUGGGCGUAAAGAGCUCGUAGGCGGUCUGUCGCGUCUGCUGUGAAAACUCAGGGCUUAACCCUGAGCUUGCAGUGGGUACGGGCAGACUAGAGUGCGGUAGGGGAGACUGGAAUUCCUGGUGUAGCGGUGGAAUGCGCAGAUAUCAGGAGGAACACCGAUGGCGAAGGCAGGUCUCUGGGCCGCAACUGACGCUGGAGGAGCGAAAAGCAUGGGGAGCGAACAGG